GUUGGGUUUGAAUAGAAUUAAGGUA
rnacentral:piRNA from 1 species